CUUCCUGCACACAUGAAACAUCAGGGUCAUGCAAACUCUGUUACACUUGAAUGAGCCUAAAAAACCCGAAAUAGCUCGUAAAAUAAGCUGCUCUGAGGGAAAGAAUCAACAUCUUUUUAAGUAAAUGGCUUCUCUUCCAAAUGGAGAUCACUCUGCAAUUCAACAGCACCGGAAAAUGAAAAUGCAGCCAAAGGGGCUUACAGGGCUUGCCUGAGGAUAAAUGAAACACUGGUACUUUUGCUUAGUUUGUAUGGACCAAAUGUUAUAAUGACUUGGCAAAUUCUCUUUCAAAGAAACAGCCCUUCACUUACUUGAAAGGAUGAAGACUGGAUCCCUUGUGCCUCAGCUUGGUUUUGUGUUUUGAAUGAUAACUGGAAAAUAAAAACAGCAUUGUUGGUGAACAAAGACAACCGCUCCUAUUUGUACCACACUAUCAGACUGGGUUUGAAGCAGAUUUAAUCCAGUGUCACUUCUCCAUUCGUUAGUGUACACUGAAUAAAGACAGCCUCGCUCGA